rnacentral:snRNA from 1 species
AUCGCUUCUCGGCCUUUUGGCUAAGAUCAAGUGUAGUAUCUGUUCUUAUCAGUUUAAUUCUGCUUCUUCUGUUAGUCCCGCUGGGGAAGAAUAACAACAAUUCCACAAGGUUUUAGCCAAAUCUAAAGCAAACUUUAUUAAAUACUGGCCAAAACCAU